rnacentral:tRNA from 1 species
AUUUAAAUAGCUUAUAAGAGAGUAUAGUAUUGAAGAUACUAAGGAAAGGGCAUCUUUUUAAAUA